CGUAAAGCUCUGUGGGGAGGGAAGAAACCGUGUAUGGCUAAUAUCCAUGCACCUUGACGGUACCUCCUUAGCAAGCACCGGCUAACUCCGUGC
rnacentral:rRNA from 1 species